CAGGACGAACGCUGGCGGCGUGCCUAACACAUGCAAGUCGAACGGACGAGAGGAGCUUUGCUCCCUCAAGUUAGUGGCGACGGGUGAGUAACGCGUGAGUAACUGCCUUUCAGAGGGGAACAUUCUGAAAAGGAUGCUAAUACCGCAUAAUGUCACAGUAUCGCAUGGUACAGUGACCAAAGGAGCAAUUCCGCUGAAAGAUGGACUCGCGUCCGAUUAGCUAGUUGGCGGGAUAAAGGCCCACCAAGGCGACGAUCGGUAGCCGGACUGAGAGGUUGAUCGGCCACAUUGGGACUGAGACACGGCCCAGACUCCUACGGGAGGCAGCAGUGGGGGAUAUUGCACAAUGGGGGAAACCCUGAUGCAGCAACGCCGCGUGAAGGAAGAAGGUCUUCGGAUUGUAAACUUCUGUCCUCAGGGAAGAUAAUGACGGUACCUGAGGAGGAAGCUCCGGCUAACUACGUGCCAGCAGCCGCGGUAA
rnacentral:rRNA from 1 species